GGUGGUUCUCAGGUGACACACCCAAGAAUCCGGCUCCCUCCUCUCUGGUUCCAGGUGCGUCACCCGAGAACCACA
rfam:Myotis brandtii contig238613, whole genome shotgun sequence.